UGGCACACCUAUGAGACAGGGAAAAAGCCACAGCUGUUGGAGGAAGGACUUAAGAAGAGAGAAUGAGGGUGAUAACAACAGAGUGGUUAUGCACACAAUGAAAUACUCAAACAAUGUGCAAUGUUGCCAAUUGCUAUUUACAAACAAAGAAUCCACCAAAAUCGAAAUAUACAAAGCAUGCAAUGGGGAAAAUCCUUGAAGCUUGCUGAGAUUGUCUGGAGCAGAAGAGGGAGAUACAUUACCACCCAGAACUGAUGCAGAGGAGUUACUCAAAAGCCUGUAAAAUU